AAUACUUGUUUGUAUGUUUGUUCAAAGGGUGAACAAAGGUAUACAAGAUAAAUGCCAACCUAAAUUCUCAUUUGUCAUCCAUAAUUCAUUGAUGAGUAUGCUUUUUGCUACAUUCACGAAGGAUUAUA
rfam:Mus musculus chromosome 2, GRC primary reference assembly.